rnacentral:lncRNA from 1 species
AGGGUUAUGAAGCUUGAGUCUAUUCUUACGUAACCACUCAAUGACUAAUGGUAUUUAAGUUUAAUUUGCAACAUUAAGCACUACUGUCUGUUGGGUAUCUUUUGAACUCCCGCUUACCAUCCAGGUUGUCUGAAUAAACAUCCACUUGGUUAAAAUAAUACUUGUGUUUAAGAAGUUGCUAUCCAACAGAGUUUUAAAAAUUAGAGAUACGGUGGCUUGGUGUGUUACUGUUAAUGCAUUGGAGCAUAAGGAUGAGUCUAUGUUUAAGGGCUAGAUUUAUACGAUAAUUGUUUGGAUGGUUUAACUGAUGUGAAGUGGUUGUUUGAGUAAAUAGUUAAAUCUUACUAUGAGGUGUAAAGAAUGUAGUAAAUAGGAUUAGAAGGAUCCGACUUUUAUGAGUCGAAGUCAGAGAUUCCAUUGGAAAUUUUUAUAAGCAAAUGCAGUUGCCUUGCAAUGUACGAAAAUUAUUAAAAUAUCCAGUAGCACUUAUAGGAUCUGAUAUCUAUAUGAAAGUAGAAAAUCUGAAAUCAAAUUGACACUUUUAAGAAGACUGGCAGCAGUGUACAAAAGUUUUUUUUUUUUAAUAAAAGCACUUAUAAGCAUUAAAGGAUCCGAUAUAUAUGUGUAGAAAAUCAGAGAUCCCAUGGACAUUUUAAAAAAGGGCAAACGUAGUUGCCUCGCUGCAGUGGCGGACCCACGUUAAGAGAUGGGGUGUCACAUGACACCCCUUAAAGCUGAAUAAAUACGUGUUUUGUAUUAAUGAACAAUGGAAUUCAUCUAGUUCUGCUGGUAAAAUACUUUUAGUGACACCCCUAAACCCAGGUUUAAACCUUACUAUUGACACUUUUAUAUUUUUUUUUCAUGGUUUGACCCACUUAAAAUUAGGUCCUAGGUC